UCUCACUUUCAUUUCACUUCACUCUCUCACUUUCUCAACCGAAAAAAAUCUCCUUUCUCCUUCAUGAAACAACACCCAAGGAUUGAACCUUCAUCUACUCUCUCAUAUAAGCUCUUCAUCACCAGUAUCCAUUUCUUCCACUUUUACAACAAAAUAUCCUUGCAACUUCCCAUAGUAACAUAAACUAACCAUUGUGAUCCAUCUGCGACUUCAUCCUACACCACCACCACAUACGGAUUACAAAUCGUAACAAUACCAUUAAUUGAGUUUCACUUGUUUUUUUUAUAUAUUUAUUAAUGGGUGUUUGAUUUUUGUUUUAUAUUUUGUUUGUUGUUGUUUUAGAGAAGCUUGAGUUUAAUGGUGAUGUUUGUUUAAAAGUUGAGAAAGUUGGAGAUGUUAAGAUUUUCAAAAUGUAUAAAUUUUUUAUAUUAUUAUUGUUGUUUAUUUAGAGAAUGAUGGAUUGAAGGAAGAGAGUAAGAGGAGAGAAGAUUUGGUUUUCUCCUUCUUUUAUGUUAGUGAACGCUAGAAGAGAGGAAGAAGUAGAAAGUUUAGAAAUUUUUAAAACC
rnacentral:lncRNA from 1 species